UCCGGCGGUGGCGGAGGGGCCGCGGCUGCCGCCGCCGGGGUCGCUGGCGCGGUCGCCGUUCUACGCGGUGCCGUGGGAGC
rnacentral:tRNA from 1 species